ensembl:rRNA 5S_rRNA 5S ribosomal RNA
GUCUAUGGCCGUGCUCCCCUGAACAAGCCUGAACCUAUCUGAUCUCAGAAGCUAAGCACGGUGGGGCCUGGUUAGUAGUUACAUGGGAGACCACCUAGGAAGACCAGGUGCUGUAGAUG